ensembl:lncRNA
CCUGACUCCAUUCUCCACUAAAAGCACUUGGGUGUCGAUCUCAGAAAGUUGCUGGGUGAUUUUGGAAAUAAUCCCUUUUUCUGGAAAGCUGUUUACCCAGAUAAGCACCAUCCCUCUCCCUGCUGAAGCAGCAGCUGUUGUGGGAGACAGCUGAAGUGCAAACAGGCUCCUGCUCCAUCCAUCACCCCGGCACGGGCCAGGCACAGACACUUCACUUAAAGAACAACGUUUGCAGAAGAGGAGUUGGGCCACAAAUCAAUUCCCACUGGGAGGCAGGGGAUGGUUUGAACAGGAGCAGAGGUUUCCUGGAAUGAUCUUCUGGUGGGAUGAGGGGAUGAGAGCUGGAACAGAGGUCUCUGGGCAGCCAGAGCUCUUCCUAACGAUCUGUGCUGGAUGGAAAGAACCCCAAAGAGCUUUCUCUAUUGAAUUUCCAUCGUCUUCCUCAUCCCAUUUGCAUUUAAAGCCAGCUUUCAGCUGCUGUGCGUGGGACAAGACACAUUUCUGCUCAAUACCCAUCCAAUUCUGCCUGCUGUGGAUUCAGGCUGGUGGCACGGAUUGCUGCCGAUGCAGAUGGAGUUGCCUGAGAAUCCAGAGUUUCCUGGCCCUGGGAAAUCUUGCAGGGAAAUAACUGCAGCUCUGGUUGAGCCAACACCUGGCAGGAGCACGAUUUCCAUUCCAUGUCCAACACUGCCUCCCUGGCUCUUUUGAUCUUUCCUGUGGAGCCAGGGAUUAAUAUCAUUUCAACAGCACUUUCAGAAGAAUCAGCAAAUUGCAUUUGUGUCUCACCGGAGGCUCCGGAGCGACCUUUCCCUUCAGGGGGACGUGGAGUGAUGGCACCAGUGGGGUGGGCUGAGAGCAGGGAGCUGCCAGGAGAAGGGAGAUCCACGGGCUCUCAGCUCCUGCUGACUGCUCCAUCCCUCAGCAGCUCUGCUGGAAGCGUGUGCCGAGCACCAACCCCAAAAUAAAAGGGCUGUUGCUAAUAAAUUGUGCUGCUUG